UUAAUCGAAACCAAAAUAGAGGUAUAUCACUGUUAAUGAUUUAAUUGAGAAUUACUCCGAUUAAA
rnacentral:tRNA from 1 species